rnacentral:rRNA from 1 species
UACGAAGGGGGCUAGCGUUGCUCGGAUUGACUGGGCGUAAAGGGCGCGUAGGCGGUUCGUACAGUCAGACGUGAAAUUCCUGGGCUCAACCUGGGGGCUGCGUUUGAUACGUGCGGACUUGAGUGCGGAAGAGGGUCGUGGAAUUCCCAGUGUAGAGGUGAAAUUCGUAGAUAUUGGGAAGAACACCAGUGGCGAAGGCGGCUCACUGGCCCGGUACUGACGCUGAGGUGCGAAAGCGUGGGAGCAACAGG